CUUGGCCUGCACCGCCUCAUAAUAAAUCGCUGAACGGAACUUGGUGCUCUAUCGAUAAGCUCGAAACCACAUUGCAUCCUCUAGUCUGGCCCUUUUGCUGGCCAUCAGAGGUGAGCUGGAGGAUGGGAAUAAAACCCAAUUCUGGAAUCUGAUUUCGCUGAACGGGAACUGGAAGACUCAUAUUUUGGAUGGAGAGCCUAUUAAUGAGCUGGAUUCUCUGACGGUUUAUCUCAGCUCAUACGACUUUAAGGAUGGUUUUGAUAAAUGGCGUUGGAUGGGUGAUAACACAGGUGACUUUUCGUUUGCUAAGGUUAAAAAGCUCUUUGAAAGGAACCCCCCUCUAUUUUCGCUUCAUUUGAGAAUAUCCUGGACCGGAACUCUCGGCUUCAUUUGAAGCUCAAUACGUUUGGAUGGAGAGCCAUUUUGCAACGCCUCACGACGACCGUCGCAUUGAUGAAAUCAAAUGAAGGAUUAAGAAUGGCCCAAACGUUUGAUGUUUCUUCUGGUCCGCGGUGGAAUUGGUGGAUCACAUCUUCACUGGUUGCUAUGUGGCAUCGAUAGUGUGGCAAGACCUGAGCAGGUGGUGUAAACCCCCCCCCCCCCCCUAUUUUCGCAUUUUCUAUAUGUGAUCUUUUUAUUAUUUUGAAACCAAGAAGAGGAUGAUUCGAUUUUUAGUUAGCAGGUUGGACGGUCUCUUCUGUUUAAUGAAUUUUGUCGUUCGAAGAAAGAAAAGAAAAGAAAAAACUAAAAUACAAUAGAGAAAACACUGAAACUA